AUUCCAGCUCCAGUAGCGUAUAUUAAUGUUGUUGCAGUUAAAAAGCUCGUAGUUGGAUUUCUGACUUGACGCGCCUGGCCCGCCUUGCAUUUCGCGGGUGAGUGCCGGAGCGCGUCGGUCAUCCUUCUAGAGAACGGCGCUACCCUUCACUGGGUCGGCGUCGCAAUCUAGAUCUUUUACUUUGAAAAAAUUAGAGUGUUCAAGGCAGGCUCGCGCUGUGAAUACAUUAGCAUGGAAUAAUAACCUAGGACUUUGUUCCUAUUUUGUUGGUUUCUAGGAAUUAAGUAAUGAUUGAUAGGGAUAGUUGGGGGUGCUAGUAUUCAGCGGCCAGAGGUGAAAUUCUUGGAUUCGCUGAAGACUAACUUAUGCGAAAGCAUUCACCAAGGAUGUCUUCAUCA
rnacentral:rRNA from 1 species